UUGCAUGGCGGGCGUGCUAUACAUGCAAGUCGAGCGGACAGAAGGGAGCUUGCUCCCGGAUGUUAGCGGCGGACGGGUGAGUAACACGUGGGUAACCUGCCUGUAAGACUGGGAUAACUCCGGGAAACCGGAGCUAAUACCGGAUAGUUCCUUGAACCGCAUGGUUCAAGGAUGAAAGACGGUUUCGGCUGUCACUUACAGAUGGACCCGCGGCGCAUUAGCUAGUUGGUGAGGUAACGGCUCACCAAGGCGACGAUGCGUAGCCGACCUGAGAGGGUGAUCGGCCACACUGGGACUGAGACACGGCCCAGACUCCUACGGGAGGCAGCAGUAGGGAAUCUUCCGCAAUGGACGAAAGUCUGACGGAGCAACGCCGCGUGAGUGAUGAAGGUUUUCGGAUCGUAAAGCUCUGUUGUUAGGGAAGAACAAGUGCAAGAGUAACUGCUUGCACCUUGACGGUACCUAACCAGAAAGCCACGGCUAACUACGUGCCAGCAGCCGCGGUAAUACGUAGGUGGCAAGCGUUGUCCGGAAUUAUUGGGCGUAAAGGGCUCGCAGGCGGUUUCUUAAGUCUGAUGUGAAAGCCCCCGGCUCAACCGGGGAGGGUCAUUGGAAACUGGGAAACUUGAGUGCAGAAGAGGAGAGUGGAAUUCCACGUGUAGCGGUGAAAUGCGUAGAGAUGUGGAGGAACACCAGUGGCGAAGGCGACUCUCUGGUCUGUAACUGACGCUGAGGAGCGAAAGCGUGGGGAGCGAACAGGAUUAGAUACCCUGGUAGUCCACGCCGUAAACGAUGAGUGCUAAGUGUUAGGGGUUUCCGCCCCUUAGUGCUGCAGCUAACGCAUUAAGCACUCCGCCUGGGGAGUACGGUCGCAAGACUGAAACUCAAGGAAUUGACGGGGGCCCGCACAAGCGGUGGAGCAUGUGGUUUAAUUCGAAGCAACGCGAGGACCCUUACCAGUCUUGACAUCCUCUGACAACCCUAGAGAUAGGGCUUUCCCUUCGGGACAGAGUGACAGGUGGUGCAUGGUUGUCGUCAGCUCGUGUCGUGAGAUGUAGGGUUAGUCCCGCAACGAGCGCACCCUUGAAUCUAGUUGCCAGCAUUCAGUUGGGUCACUCUA
rnacentral:rRNA from 1 species